GACGAACCGUGCGAACGUUAUUCGGAAUCACUGGGCUUAAAGCGCGUGUAGGCGGGACGGCACGUCGGUCGCUGAAAUCCCCCGGCUCAACCGGGGAACGGGCGCCGAUACGACCGCCCUGGAGGGACGUAGGGGGACCUGGAACUUCCGGUGGAGCGGUGAAAUGCGUUGAGAUCGAAAGGAACGCCCGUGGCGAAAGCGAGGUCCUGGACGUUUUCUGACGCUGAGACGCGAAAGCCAGGGGAGCGAACGGG
rnacentral:rRNA from 1 species